UAAUUUGAUAAGAGGCAUCUGAUGGCUGUGGUUUUCUAUAUAUGUCAGACAACAGAUGUGUAUCAUAGUGUGCAUGAAAUGGAUUCAAAUCUUACUUACUAUUAGUUGCCCUCUAAAGGAAAAACGCUUCACAGAUGAAGUCCAUUUAUCCUGGCGGCAGAGACAGGAAACAAAAGUAGUUCCUUGUUCAGAGCACAGACGAUGCUGAGGAGGCAGGCAGGUAAACCCAAACAGAGAAGUCAUCUACCACGAAGCAGGUCGAACCUCAGCAGCCGACAAAUAUAGCCUGGUGCUUUCCCUCUAGCUCUGCUGCGCUGGGCCAAAUAAAUCAGUCCAAGCAAAGAAAGAGAAGAAGGGAGAGGGAGAAGGAGAGGAAGGAGUGGGGCAUGCAGGAGAGGGGUGAAGGACUGAGGUGAAAACGGGGAUGAAGACGGGAAAAGUGUGCUGGGGAGGACCGACUCUGAGACUGAAGCAGCUGUGAUGGAGAGACAGCUGGAGACGGAUGGCAUCUCUGCAGUACAGAGGGAGCCUGUUAGAGCCAGAGAACAGCGCACACAUCAAUACAGUGACAACAAAAGGUUAUAUGAGGGAUGGGGAGGAGACUAAUCGACCCUGCGCCACAGCUCAGCCUUGCUGGUUCCCAUCCUCCUGUGAAGUAAUGGAAGCCCUGACUGGAUCACACAGAGCAGCGCUUCAUCAUCGAUCCUCGGGCUAA
rnacentral:lncRNA from 1 species